GGAUUGACUUAUUGAUCUCUCUCUCUUACUUCUAUGGGUGGUGGUGCAUGGCCGCUCUUAAGUUUGUGGAUGAUUGUCCUGGUUAAUUCAGUUAACGAACGACACCUUAACCUGCUAAAUAGGGUUAAAAACUUUUGUUUUUAAAUUACUUCUUAAAAGGACUUUGCGUGUCUAACGCAAGGAAGUUUGAGGCAAUAACAGGUCUGUGAUGCCCUUAGAUGUUCUGGGCUGCACGCGCGCUACAUUGAUGCAUCUAACAAGUUUAUAACCUUAGCUGAUAAGCUUAGGUAAUCUUUUGAGUGCGCAUCGUAAUGGGGAUAAAUUAUUGUAAUUAUUAAUCUUUAACGAGGAAUGCCUAGUAGGCGCAA
rnacentral:rRNA from 1 species